rnacentral:lncRNA from 1 species
UACGCAAUGAUGCAAUGGGUGGAGACUACCCAUCAAAGCCAAUGUCUUUGUAUGCAACAAUUUGGGAUGCCUCUAGCUGGGCCACCAACGGAGGAAAAUAUAAAGUUAAUUAUGAAUAUGCCCCUUUCACUUCCGAGUUUAAAGACCUAGUCCUUGAUGGUUGCGCCAUCGAUCCCAUCCAGAAAUUCCCCAACUCCACUGCCUGCUCCGAGACAGAUACCUGGCUCGAGAGCCGUGACUAUGCCAUCAUAACACCGAAAAGCCGAUCCGCCAUGCGAAGAUUCAGGCAGCGUUACAUGUACUAUUCAUAUUGUUAUGACAAUGUGCGUUACCCUAUAACCCCUCCCGAGUGCGCAGUUGAUU